CAACCUGCCGUCUACUCUUGGACAGCCUUCUGAAAGGAAGAUUAAUACAAGAUGGCAUCAUGAGUCCGCAUGUUCACAUGAUUAAAGGUAUUCCGGUAGACGAUGGGGAUGCGUUCCAUUAGAUAGUANGCGGGGUAACGGCUCACCUAGUCUUCGAUGGAUAGGGGUUCUGAGAGGAANNNUCCCCACAUUGGAACUGAGACACGGUCCAAACUCCUACGGGAGGCAGCAGUGAGGAAUAUUGGUCAAUGGGCGAGAGCCUGAACCAGCCAAGUAGCGUGAAGGAUGACUGCCCUAUGGGUUGUAAACUUCUUUUAUAAAGGAAUAAAGUCGGGUAUGGAUACCCGUUUGCAUGUACUUUAUGAAUAAGGAUCGGCUAACUCCGUGCCAGCAGCCGCGGUAAUACGGAGGAUCCGAGCGUUAUCCGGAUUUAUUGGGUUUAAAGGGAGCGUAGAUGGAUGUUUAAGUCAGUUGUGAAAGUUUGCGGCUCAACCGUAAAAUUGCAGUUGAUACUGGAUAUCUUGAGUGCAGUUGAGGCAGGCGGAAUUCGUGGUGUAGCGGUGAAAUGCUUAGAUAUCACGAAGAACUCCGAUUG
rnacentral:rRNA from 1 species